UUGAAUUAUUUGAACUAAGAGCAACUACAACAAUUAUAUUCUGAUGGAGACAAAAGUGCUAAGGUUUAUGUUACUUCUCUUCCUAGUCUUAGCAGAUGAUGUGACUGUGAAGAGAACAGAAGCUGAAAUAUGUUGGUCACCAAGCCGCUCUUUCAAGGGUUUAUGCUUGAGCAGCGGCAAAUGUGCAAGAGUGUGUCGAACCGAAGGUAACACUGGUGGCAAAUGCAAAGGCUUCCUUCUCCGCUGUCACUGCAGCUCAACUUGUUGUUGUGGAAAUUAAUUCACUCAUUCAACCUUUUCCAUUAAUAAAAACCUCAUCUGUAGUUAUUUUUAGCUGCGGUUAUGAAAAUUAUUAAUUAAUGAGAAUUUCUAAUUAUGUUUCUCUCCAA